UCAUCAUCUGCCACUGCCAGAAUGUUACCUCGAGUUACCUCGAGUGUUAGCAAGUGCCCAGUCUAGUAAAAUUAUUAUUUUUUUGUCUUUACUAUUUUUAAAUAAAUAUAUAGCUUGUUCUAUAUGACCAACUAACGGCAAUAAAAGUAUACAGCCUCCUGGCUCAAAAAGAAACGUAGUAGAAAAAGCAAGUGAAUCAGCUGAUUUGUCCGAAAACCAGUAUAGAAGAAAAGUAAUCAAACUCUUCGAAGAAGUUGUUGCUGUUAUAAACAAAAGUAAUCGCGCCCAUCAGACUAACGAUUUCUCUAUAGAAACCACUAUUCUCGAGCAUUUUCAUCAUUUUGAAAAGUGUUGACAUCAAAUGUCAAACUUACCCUUCAGCACUACAGCGAAAUAGAAGAUCUGAAUUCGGCAUUGGCAAACAACGAUCUGUCCAUUGCCAUGAUCCUAAAAACAAUGUCAUCGCGAGACCAAAUUUCCAAAAUGUUGAUGAGCAAACUGUUUACCAACACUCUUUGCACAAAAAUUCAAUGGAAAAGAAGGGGGAACGACAAGCGUCCGAGAUUUGGUCAUCUCACGAAUCUCGUUGCAGUUAUGGGUGUUAAGUGAUUGACUUAAGAACACAUUAAAUCAUCUGACAUCGGAAUACCUUUUUUUUACAGUUAUCAUCAACAUUGUCCGAGAAAUCAAUAAAGUCCCUAAAGUGGAUUUUAAGGAUUUAAUAGUUACUAUCCAAACCGCUCGUCAAAUGUUGUCGUUCAAAUUGAAGAACAAGACUACAAGUCAACUGGAACUCCUAGAAGAUGAUGUAGUUGGUAAUAGCAAAACCGAUCGGAAAACUCAACUCGCUGUAGACAGCAGAAUGGCGGAGUUUUACAAUGCAAUCCUGCAUUUUGAACUCAACUG